CGUCCCAGCAGGACGUGGGUGCGGGCAGGGCCGUUUGGUGUCAGAGCGAUUGGGACCCGGACCCUGGGGUGGGAGAGCUCAGCGUCCGGAUCCUGACGCGGCCGCUUGCGAGCUGGAUGGGCUUAGAGCACGUGACCUCCCUGAUAGCCUGACAGCGGACGCAAUGUUCGCUGACCCCGCAGCCACGGCCGACACGCGGACGCUAUGUGUGAGCUCCAGGACUCACGGAGUGGCGGGCGGAAUGGGAGACCAGAACGGUUCUAUAUUUACAGAAAAAGCGAGUGAACAGAACAGAGACCCCCAUAUGCUCUCCUGCUACCCUCCCCCAUCAUCGCCGUCUCACCUAACCAUCGCUGCGCAUCUCUUAGAACUAGUGGAAUAAUUCUGGCACAUUACGGUUUAUCCACAGUCUAUUUGGACUUGGUAGUAUUCACCUAACAUCCUUCCUCUGCUCCGGAGCCCCAUCCGGACACCGCGUGACACCCAUUACUCCCCACAUCUCCUUAGGCUCCUCCUGGUGGUGACAGUGUCCCAGACUUUCCUUGUUUUUGGUGACUUGGCAAUUCUGCUGUUUUGUGGGAAUUUACUGGGUACGUUACUCACCAUCAGACCAGCACUCUGGGUCUUUGCGAGGAAGGUCACGGGCAGGUUCCACGGUCUUCGGAUCGCAUCCGCGUCACUGGCUGCGGACCCUGGCCGGGUCAGCUGGCUGAGGAGAGCUGUCAGGCUGCG